rnacentral:rRNA from 1 species
GACGAACGCUGGCGGCGUGCUUAACACAUGCAAGUCGAACGGAAAGGCCCUGCUUUUGUGGGGUGCUCGAGUGGCGAACGGGUGAGUAACACGUGAGUAACCUGCCCUUGACUUUGGGAUAACUUUAGGAAACUGGGGCUAAUACCGGAUAGGAGCUCCUGCUGCAUGGUGGGGGUUGGAAAGUUUCGGCGGUUGGGGAUGGACUCGCGGCUUAUCAGCUUGUUGGUGGGGUAGUGGCUUACCAAGGCUUUGACGGGUAGCCGGCCUGAGAGGGUGACCGGCCACAUUGGGACUGAGAUACGGCCCAGACUCCUACGGGAGGCAGCAGUGGGAAAUAUUGCACAAUGGGCGGAAGCCUGAUGCAGCAACGCCGCGUGCGGAAUGACGGCCUUCGGGUUGUAAACCGCUUUCGCCUGUGACGAAGCGUGAGUGACGGUAAUGGGUAAAGAAGCACCGGCUAACUACGUG